GAGAGGAGAGAGGGUAAGAAUGAAUGUGGCACAAACUCUGGGCCCUACAGAGCCCACGCCUCCCAGGCCAAGAGAGGGCUACGGCAUGGAAGGCCACUGAGCAGACGGGGUGCCUUUCUGCUUAUGCCGUUGUGGGUGAUGAAGGGAGGAAGAGUGAACUCAGCUACUUUCUUCGUCCUCCUUAGGACACUCAUCCCUGCAGGGACAAGCACUAGGGAACCUAUACAGCUGCCUGGCACCAAGGCGUAAGAAGUGUCCAUUGCUACCUGGUCGGCGCUGGCUAACCCAACUUGGCUUAUAAACCAAGCAGCAGCACUAUGUCCCAUACCCUGUAGGGGUCUGGGGGGACAUUUCUUUAGAUACAGCUAAACCCUCUCCCAAGAGAACCAAAAUCUCCUAGAAAAGGGGCUUUAGUUCCUAAAAGAAUAACCAAGAAUCUUAGAUCCUCAUACCUGGGCACUGCACGAUGCACAGUAUCAGAGUGUGCCCCAGCCUCUAAGCUUUCACACACAGUGGUGGCAGGCAGGGAUGAAAACCUGUCCGAGUGGGAGGGAUGGCAGGAGCCUGGCACGCUUCCUUUUUCUCAGAAUGGAGAUGGAAAUCUGAGCCCCUGUCAGGACUAAGGGCUCUGUUAAGAGAUUUGAGUGGAAAACAAUUCCACAGGUCAAGAAGCACCCCAGCCACCCUUUACUCGUCAGCUGACUUGUGGCCCACAUCAGCCUCUUCCGUAAGGACAUCCUUAAAAUGGCUGAUGGUCAUCCUUGGCCUCAGAGAAUCUGUGGCCACUUUUAAGAAAAUCUCAAAACCACCACCAUCGGACUUAUAGGCAGUAAGGAUUUUAAACUUUGAAAGUUCAUGAAUCUUAGAAAUUAAACCAGUCCUUUUGGCAACCUUCUUUCGGUUCUAUUUUUGCAUAUCUAUUUUUAUACCUCCUCUCUUGGAGCCUGGUAUAGUAGCUAGAAUAGGCUAGGUUAGUAGCGAGCUUUCCAGGUUCUCCCAUUGUAUCAGCUGCCCUCCACAGAGACAUCCCUUCCCCUUCUCUCCAGGCACAUGUUUAAUCUCAGCCUGCUUUCAUUUGGCCCCACUCAGCAACACUGGGAAAGCCUACUCAAAGAGGAGAAGACAACCUGUUUAUUCUGAGGCCUGAUAAGGCGUAUUACCUGAUUUAGUCUUAACAAUAACCUUGAGAUAGGUAUUAUCAUUUCACAUGUGAAGAACUCCAGGUUUACCAAGGUUAAGGUUCUUGUUCAAACACACAUGACCAGCCAAAGGCAGCAGGAUCUGAACCCAGGAUCUGAACCCAGGCCUUUGGCAGGCCAGGCUUGCCCAGGUUUGAAUGGGCUCCAGUCCUCUCACAACACCCAGAACCCACCCUACCCAUUGAAGGCCGGGGCACUCCAGACUCUGGGGUCACUGUAGCAGGAGAGCCCUAGGCAGGGUGUCACUUGCCAUCUGCCCAGAUGACGGGCCCAAGUCCCCAACCUCCCUUGAUCCUGCAUGGGCAGCUCUGGACAGGGAAACUGAGGACACAGUUGGCUGUGGAACCCCUUGAAUAAUCCCUUCCUGUAUUCUUCCUGCCAGAGCGCUGGCUCUGCUGCCCCUGGGAUAGAAAGACCCCCUCCCCUGCCAGCUCUAGAAGUAGCCUGCUUGAUCCAGGCCUGUAGCAGAGUUGCCAUGUGAAAGGUCCUGCAGUUUCUCUUAAGCCACCAGUUACUGAGGUGCUCACAGAUGUGGAAGGACCCAUGUUGAGGGCCUUCUAUACACAGGACUACUUGGUCUUCCCAACCCUGUCCCCUCACCGCUUCCCUCCUGUUAGAACCCCUGAACCUCAGGCAGCUUAGUCAGGGAAACAAAAAUGUCCCAGUCUCACUUCCUCUAUCACUUGCUCCUUUAGUUCAGUUUGCCUUUGCCAGGGCGCAUUUCACAUGACAUACUCCGAAACCUGGGGCAAUAAGUACUUUGAGCUCAUUACUCCCAGCCAGUGCCUACAGAGGUUAGAAAUAGUCUGGCUAUAGGAGAGAGGACUUCAGACCAGAGGGCUGCGCCAGCCUUGACGGGUGGUUAGUGCUGUACGUACCUUAGAAACCUGAAUCACUUCCUUUCUGGAGUACCAAGUCUUCCAAAGCCCUUAUGACUCUCCAUUAGCUGAGAACAGAACCUCUGCCCCCAAACUGUCAAGAGUACAUGGCGGAAGGCAGGUGUGCAGGUAAGUGACUUGCUCUGACGAAGGCCUCACAGUUCCUCAUAGACCCACUGUGGGGCCCAGAAAUGGCACGUUUUACAACUGUCUUCCUAAAUGCCUUACCUACUUGGAGGGUCCCUGCUGCACUGAGUUGCAUAGCCUGGUCUGCUCCAGGACACCACCCCACCUGGGGGCCACUGCAAAUUACCUUCCACUCUGUCCCCCUCCCUGCCACCCAGUGGGUGAAUCUGCCUGAGAACUCCACCACCAUGCCAGCCAGUGUGCAGCCCCUGCUGCCUGUGUCCUGGGUCCUGACGCCCUCCCUGGCUACUGGAAGCCAGGGGACCAUGUGUACUGAAGCUUCACUAGCAGUGCUGGUUACAGCAGGAGCUGAGGCAGAGAUGAUUCCAGUGGACUGUUCUCCACCCAGGCCACUCAUCUCUUCUGGCAAUCGAGGCAUAAAAAGAGGGCAAAACCAUGGUUAUGUAAGGUGUUAAAUAUUAGAGGAAGCUGGGUGAACAGUAUACAGAACAGAAACUACCAUUUCUGUAACUCUUAUCUAAGUCUAAAGUUGUUUGAAAACAAAACGUUCUUCAAAAGGAGGGAAGGGAGAAGGUUCAAAGAGCCAUAGGAGGUGGGGGUGGGAGUAGGCACUGCCUUUCCAGGUGGUUCAGAAGUCAGUGCCCAGGUACAGGGAGAGGUUCUGUUGGCCUGCAGUGGCUGCUCGGACUGAGCUCCUUGGAGAUCAGGUGCCCCCCUGUGGCCAGCUUGGGGACGGGCAGGGCCUUACAGGGCCAAUUGGUUUACAUACACAUCAGCCAAAAGGCUAACCCUGCUAUUUGCUCUCUAGUGUCUCAGUAGCCAAGACCACCCUGUUCAGCCAGUGCUGGAAGUCUAUGUCCUGGAUUCAGGCAAGAAAGGGCUGAAGGGACACUCUAUUCCCAGAAAACUGGUCGAGUUGGAGAUCAGACCCAGGGGGACCCUUCACUGGCUUGUGUCUCUUGCCUCCCAAACAGCCCUUUGGCACCAACCCUCAGUGUUCUCAGCCUCUGCCCAGGGUGGAGCUUACUAAGGGGCUUUGGCAUGUGAAUGCAAGUAGAACAGAGGGGUGGUGGAGGGCAGAGAGAAUCAGGGAGGGGUGUAUGAGCAAAUAGUUGUGACCCAGAGGCCAGACUAGGUCAGAAAGGCCCUGGCAAGUCUUGGUGCAGAGCAGCUUCUGUCAGAGGCUCCCACUUACCCUCUUGCCUCUGUGCUGGAACCAGAGUAAAUAGAUGGAAGAUGCUUGGAGACAUACAGCCCCCUGAGCCCAGAUGCCUGCCCAAGCCCUGGGGUCUUCUACAGGGUCACCAGCCCACUACAACUUAGCCCACCACACAUAUCAACCAGCAGCCCCAAGGGUGCCAUUCACAAAACCUGGUUCUGGGCAGGCAGUGGGCAAAUGGAGUCCAGGCCACACAGGGGCCAGGGCAGAGAUGACUCUCAAGAAAUGUGAGCAGAGGCCUUUUCAGCUGAAGACUCCUCAGUCAGCUCCUUCCUGGAAUCUGAAACCUUUUAGUUGCUCAGCUCAGACAUUUUAAAUGAUUAAUCGGGUGCUGGUGGUAAUGGAGCUGUAUGGCCCAUCCUUUUGAGAAUGCAUCUGUACAUAGUCACAACCCAGGAGGGGCUAAUAAGGAGAAGCAAACAAGACUGGGGCCUCCCACAGAGUUCUGACAUCUGGGCCUUCUUGCUCCAUGAACUAGGAAGCUACAUCUUGGUCUCUCGAGGCCCAGACCAGUCAUGGCACCCAGGGCUGCUCCUCAAUUGCUACCACCACCACAGCCACUGCACCUUCCAAGAAGUGCCUCUAGCAAAAUGACAGCUUUGCCAGAGGCAGGAGGCCUGGAGCCUGUGCCCGCCUCAGCUGCCCUCAGCCCACCUUCAGAAUCUGAACAACAGAAACACCCAGUCAGCCUUUCCAGAGGUAGCAGACGAUGCUGGAACAGCUUUCCUCCUGCUCAGACCAAGAGGCAGGCAGGGAGGGGGAAAUCUAAGCAUUUUUGGAGUAGGUAAAAUCUCAAGGUAGCUCUAGCAUGGAUCCUGUCCCUUCCAUGGAGGCCAAGGGGAGAGUAUACAACUUGCUAAGGAUUCACUUCAACUUUCCUUGGAUGUGCUUGUGUAGUGGGAUCACUUAUUACUCAGCACAGGGGCUGCACUAGUGAGAAAACAUGCCCUGAAGGCAGUGCCACUGUGUCACCUGCACAAGCCUGUUAGCACCGGGUUAGGUAUGCUGAGGGAGGAGUGACGGGGAAGGGGUGGCUAGAAAAAGCAGAGCCAUCAAGGUGUGUAGUUUUCCCUGGAGGCUGAAAGUUAAGAGCAGGAGAGGUUAGGAAUAUGUUCCACUUUCAUCUUUCUCCACAGGGAGGUGGGAUGUGGGGCUGGCACAGCCUUGGCCUUGGCUCUGCAGCAGCUGCCUUUGUCUGCUAAGCUCAGGCCUUCGUGGGCCUCCUGGGCCUCGGUCCCCCGUUCCUCAUGCCUCCUGCUGUAGCUUCAGCUCUGGCCUCAUUGUCUCUUCUGUGAAGCUGUGAGUCAGGAGAGGCCAUGUCUCCAAGUCUCUGUCCCUCUCUCUGCUUCAGUGUCCUAGGAUACCCACUCCAAGGUGGAACAGUCUGGGAGCUGGCCAAGCAGUUCACCUGCCCACCCACAUCACUGACUGCCACCCUGCUGAUCCAGCAUUCAGCGCACCAUCCCUCUCCAAACAGUGCUCAGUGUUUGUGGAUUGGUGUGGAAAGGGUGAGAGCUUGACCUGUGUGUGGGUCCUUGUUCUAACAUCUCCAGAAGCGCAGCUGCCACCAUCCUACAAGGGAUGCAGUUGCUAGACAAAACCAAGCAGCUAUCUCAGCCAAGACCACACAUUUUGAGAGACUGAUGAGAGAGUCUAGUGAACCCCAGGCCCAUCUCACUCAGAGCAUCCAGAGGAGGGAUGGGACCCAGCCCCCCUCCCUCAGUCACAAGGCCACUUGAACUUAGCCCUGUCCGCCCCAGUCAGUUCUAUGAAGAGUAGAUCUGAUAGCAAAAUUCUCUAUAAACAACAAAAACAGAUAAGACACUGUGGCAGUCUGAUAAGCAGGACCCCACUGCCAUCACCUCCUGUGGCCCUGUCCUUGGGCUAGACCUUCUGGGACCACUAGGACAGGGUUGGCUAUAGACCCUGAAACAACUGAGGUAUCGUAGACCAAACUGCAGGUGAAACUGACUUGGGGAUCACAACUGCCAGUCAUUUUCUAGAAGAGGAUGCUGAGUUCAAAGAAGGGAAAUAACUUGACUGAAGUCACGUAGUAAUCAAAGGACAGUAUCUAUGUACCUGGGCUCUGAAGUGGUGCUGCCUAGGUUCCAAUCCUGACACUGCCACUGACAGGACAUCUGACCCCAAACAAGUCACAGCUUCCCUUUAACCACAGUCUUCUCACUUGCAAAAUGGGAAAAGUAGUGCCUGAGAGCCUACAUUUUAUGACAAAAACAAGACAAUGUAAAGUGCUAGGCCCAGGGCAUAGCAUAAAGUGGAAGAGGGAGGACACCCUACGGAAGAAACCCCAGAAACACGUUUUCCUAUUCUGGGUCUGUGUGUGGAGAGGGGCGCCUGCACCCUGUAUUCAGAUUCAUAUUUGUACAUGUGGCCCCAGAUCACCACGGGAUGACAAAAGCGGGGAACUGGCUAUCCGUGGUUAACACUGCAGCUCCCAGGGCAAAGGGAAAAAGCCACCCCCACCCCGGGGGGGAGGCUGUGUGUACUGGGAGGCAGAACACACAACUUCAACCGUUGAGACCCCUCAGGGACAAGAGAGGGUGAAAUGUUUAGAAGCAUCUCAUUUCCUUAGAUAAAGGAAGUAAGGCAACCUUCUCAGUGUGCGCGCGUUCACUGAGCUGCGAGCCUGACCAUCACUAAGACAACGUAGACACGUCCGCAGGAAGAACAGCUGUGGAACAUAAUACGAAAGGAUGGUCAAGUUAGAAGGGAUGUACGUACUUAGAAGACUGAAAACUGAAGAGUAAGGUGUUUCUCCUUACGCCUUAAAAAAAACAAAGCCAAUGGCGUGUGAUCAGUCCACAGCUGAAUCUCAGAAGUUCCAUCAGGACUGGUGGCCUUUUUAAUUGACUCAGGAAAGGGACUGAAUUUUCUGGGGACAAGAGAGUAUCAAGAGGCAGUUCUUCAGUCUGUUUUUUUGGUCUAGGAAAGAAAUGCAGAAAUGGGGUAAAGGAGCUGAUAGCAUUUUUGGUCCAUGGUCACAGAAUAUUAAAGUGAAAGGACCAACUUCCUCCCACCCUCUCGCCUCCCAAAUGGAGAUGCUGCAGAAGCGAAGGUGGCUGAGGAGCCUGAACGGUGUGUGUGAGAUCGCACGAGUGCGCAUCACUUUCCUCAUGGGACACUCAGCGCAGUGCUGGAAGCUGACCAAAGGUACUUUCCAGUAAAGACCUCGCCAUUCUACAAGGGGGAAAGUGGAACUCACCCCACUUAAAUAACAGAAAAUAAGCGCCCCCCGCCCCCCAAACACACACUAGCACCAACAAAAGACAUCAAAACCGGGGCCCACAUCCCUGCUACUGACUCGGGAGCUGGGCAGAUCCCAGCUGAGGUCCUGGCCCUGUUUUCAUUGCUAGGUGACCUCGGGUAAGCCGCUUGACCUCGUGGAGCCUCUGCUUCCUCCUCUCUAGGAAGGACAGACAUCUGUGGAAACUAUUGCCUUACAUAACUUGGGAAAAUGAGGACAAAGGUAUUAAGAAGAAAAAACAGGUCUGUUCACAAAUGGGAAAGUUUCAUCGUGGGGAUUCUUAGUGGGAUCACACAGUACAUUUCAAAUGUCAUCCUUCAUAAUUUGAUACACAUUCACUGUUUAUGUCCAUACAACUUAAGAACUGAAGUGCCAGGCAUCCUGGUGCAGCAUCUACAUUUGUGAUUGCUGGCCUGGCAGCACGCACCCAAGGCCCAGAGUACAGGGUCCUGCACAUUCACAAACACGCCUUGGCUGACAGGAGGGUUGAACAGCUUUGGGGUAGGGUCCGGUCUAUCCAGAUGAGUUUAUAAAAUGACUUAUAAUUUUAGUAUUUAUAAAUCUGAGGAGAAGACUGAGAGCCUCAUGCUGGUGAGAGAAGCAGGCACCAAAAGGCAACCUCAGAUGGCUUACUAAGGCGACAGACCCACUUCUGUGGCACAUGACUUUGGAGAAUAAUCUCAUAUACCCAGAGGGGAAGAGACACCUUAGAAGAGCCUGUUUAUUGUUUCAUUUGGAGAGUAGAAAGCAGUUUUUCCUCUACUCUGAAGCCAGCCACGAGACAGAGGGUAUGGUAGGGCAAUAGCGGGCAGGAGUACAUAGGAUGAGAGCACCACAGGCGAUUCCCAGGCACCCCACUGUUCUGCCGGGAGUCUGUACCAUCCCCUCAGACAGAAACCAUGGGUGUGAGUGGGGAAAGAUGUCCGCAUAAAGGUAAAGGGGGGAGAGGGGUCAAGUAUAAGCCCAACGUCAGGUGACACUGCUACAGCAGAAGGGAGGACGCAACUCACUGUAUCAUGAAUAUAUUUCUAAUACAGUUUUUGGAGAAAUAAGUAUGAGCGGGGCUGCUAUGCCAGGCAGAAGAAAUUAAGGAAAAUCCAGAGGAAAAAAAACCUGAUCCUGCCCAGAACACAACAGUUCUAUGACCCUGUGGCAGGGGAGUAACGACCUCGAGGCACAGAUCCUCUAAGGGCUGGCAAACCAGUGCAGCCUUGCUCACAAACUGCUCAGAAGCUGCGACUCAUGGACACCAAGGCUGUGAAUGAUGGUGGCCUACCUGACCCAGAGCAUGGCCUGGCCCACAAGCCCCUCGUCAUGCUAGUCAUCUUUUCAUGGCUGUUCUACCAGUGUGAUGUAGCCCCCACCUCAUUUACUUCCAAACUUCAAAGGACACCAAAGUCAUCAGCCACGAGCUGGGGCUUUGACUCUGGAGUAAGCACAACAUAGCAAAGGAGGGGCAGAGCAGGCUGCCUUGUGUCCUGAAAGGUUACGCACGUAAGUGAGCGAGUAAUCCCACUGAAAUACCCAUCGGGCCCCGUAAUGAUAUGUUGAUUUAAUCCAAUUCUAAUCAAAAGCUCAGCAGUAUUUUUUGUAACUAAGCUGAUUCUAAAAUUUGUAGAAAGUCAAGAGAACUAAAUAAACAAUUUUGAAAAAGAU